GUUUGAAAUAUAAUGUAUACAUAGUUUAGUUGCACUUGUUCAUAGAUAAAUGACCAUGUAUAACAUUUUAUAGACCAUAUACAAAUUUAGCCAGUGGGGUUUAUGAUGUGAGUUAACACUCUAUUCAGAUUACUAAAUGACCAUGUUACGUAAACCCCAUUACACAUGUUACUUUUAAGUGUAUUGGGGAGGUUAAGAGUUUAAAUAAGGGUAAUUCAACGGUCACUUAAAAGAUGCAAAAUUUUAGUACCGACGUUUAUUACUUUAUUUGAUUAAUGGGAUAAUUUCUCCGGGUACUAUAUAAACAAGUUUGUUCAGUUGGUGUACUAUCUGUGUAUUCCAACUGAACAGAACUUUGUGUUUUUAUUUUAAAGGUAACCGGACAAUUUCAGAAACCCUAGUGGUAUGAUAAAGUCCUAAAAAAAACACGAACAGCAUACAAAUUACUUGUCAGCCACUUACACAUACGAGUUUCAUCCGACCUCCCUCUACACCAAGUCGAGUAUAGUCUCACCCCAACUGACACCAAAAUCAAGUAUAAAAAGUGGUGGAGGAAAAGAAAACGAUUUCCGGUGGAAAAAGCUUAAAAGUGGUAGAAAAACCAGGACAACCAAACCAAGCAUGAACAACCUCAAAGGAUUUCACCCGCUGUCACCAGCACCCGGAUCCAAAAAUGGAGAAAGGAGAACAAAGAAAGGAGAACAGAGAAAGGAGAAUGGAGAAAGGAGUACGGAGAACGGAGAAAGGUGGCCCCUGACGGAGCUUAAUUUUGGACGUUUAUUCUAAACAGUGGAUUUUAAAUUUAACUAUUGUUUCACGCUUUGUGUAUAUAUUGUAUAUAUGUUCUAUGGUAAAAAAAAAGCUGAUUAUUAAAUAGCAAGUAAGUUAACGUUAAUGUUAAAAAAUAUAUUAGAAAAAAAAAUAAAGUAAAGUUAAAAUUGAUAAAAUAGCGAUUAGGUGAAAAAGAUAGAAAGUAAGUUAAAGUGAGAAAAAAUGUAUGUAAGAAUUAGGUUAAAUUGAAAAUGGAGUCAUUGAUAAAGGUAAAUUUUAAAAAGAAAUGUCUAAAUUGAGAUAAACGAAAUAUGAAUUAUUAUAUUUAAGUGCCUAAACAUCUUUAUUUAAAGUGUUGAUAAAAAAAAUCAUUUAAUUUGGAAGACUGUAAAUGGCAACUAAGAUACUAAAAUGAUGAUGAUUGAUGUAAAAUAAAAAUAAAGAAAUAUGAGAUGAUCAGAAAAAUAUUUUUAGUUUACUUAAUAGCAAAAACAACAAGUAACUUAGAGUAACUAUAUUGAAAUGUAAUAUGUCUUAGACGCUAAUGUUUAGGCGGUUCAAAUUCAUUAAACGUAAAAAGGAAAGGAAGAUAUAUCCUUGUUUAUAUGAGAGCCUUUAAAUAAUGCCCUAAACUUUAACCUUCAAAAGAUAAAAGUACAUAACAAAAAUCAAAUAUGUAAGAAGAGGUUGGUUGUUUAAAGACUUAAAAACUUGAUAUUAUGUGGAAUAUAUAAAACGUCCACAUUAGAAAAUGUUGAGGUAAGGCACAUUGUCCUAUAAGGAACAAAUAUAGAUAAAUAAAUAAAUAAAUAGUCAUUUAAAGAGAAAUGCACGUGUGAAAAUGAAUUACAAAACUUGGUUGAUUGUUAAAGUGUUUAAUGGUUCUAGAGCGAUUACGAUAAAAAUGUUGAGUAAAACAUGUGUUUUAAGGUUCCUGUGUGCAAGAAUUUAAUGUUAGUUUAAUCAUAAGAAUUUAAUUUUAGUUGAUCACCUAAUUAAAUUAGUGUUAAAUAUGUUGACCUAGCUAGUCAUCAUGUAAAACCUUGAUUGUAGCAAACACAAUAUUAUUCUAGCAUAGGCAAAUCCUUAUCCAUAAUGUUAAAUCUUAACUGUAAUCAAAUGUUUUAGAAAACUAUCCAUUGUAAAACAUACAACAAAUUUGACUAAAGUAAUAUAAUAGAAAAUGAGGGUAUGUCUUGCGGUAGUUCUGGAGUCGGAGCAAAAUACCCAGGAAAAUGAGCAUACUCCAUAGAGAGGAAAUGACUCAGGUAUGUUUGGAGUUCGAGCAGACUACCAAGAAAAGAGGGCUUACCACAAUAGUAAUAGAGAAACAAUAAUAAUAAUGAUAAAAAAAAACACCAACGCUCUUAUAAUAAAGAAUUAAGAGAUUUGUAAAUGAAAAAUAUUUUUAAGAUCAAAUUGUUUUUUUUGUUGUUUUUUUUUUUUGGAAAAAAAAAACCAUAAAUAAAAUACUGCAUGUAUAUGGUCAUAUAAGAAAGUCACGAAUAAGAAUAACUAAAACGCAAUCAGUCAUCUUGGUCAUAGCAACUUGUCUAACCGAUAUAUACAAUAUCAACGGACAUCAGCCAUAUUCCUAACAACCCACAUAUGUUGUUUGGAAACGCAAUUUUAUUUUUUUUUAAGAAUAAAAACAGAUAUUUUUCUUUUA